UCCUGGCUCAGAUUGAACGCUGGCGGCAGGCCUAACACAUGCAAGUCGAGCGGAUGAAGAGAGCUUGCUCUCUGAUUCAGCGGCGGACGGGUGAGUAAUGCCUAGGAAUCUGCCUGGUAGUGGGGGACAACGUCUCGAAAGGGACGCUAAUACCGCAUACGUCCUACGGGAGAAAGCAGGGGACCUUCGGGCCUUGCGCUAUCAGAUGAGCCUAGGUCGGAUUAGCUAGUUGGUGAGGUAAUGGCUCACCAAGGCGACGAUCCGUAACUGGUCUGAGAGGAUGAUCAGUCACACUGGAACUGAGACACGGUCCAGACUCCUACGGGAGGCAGCAGUGGGGAAUAUUGGACAAUGGGCGAAAGCCUGAUCCAGCCAUGCCGCGUGUGUGAAGAAGGUCUUCGGAUUGUAAAGCACUUUAAGUUGGGAGGAAGGGUUGUAAAUUAAUACUCUGCAAUUUUGACGUUACCGACAGAAUAAGCACCGGCUAACUCUGUGCCAGCAGCCGCGGUAAUACAGAGGGUGCAAGCGUUAAUCGGAAUUACUGGGCGUAAAGCGCGCGUAGGUGGUUUGUUAAGUUGGAUGUGAAAGCCCCGGGCUCAACCUGGGAACUGCAUUCAAAACUGACAAGCUAGAGUAUGGUAGAGGGUGGUGGAAUUUCCUGUGUAGCGGUGAAAUGCGUAGAUAUAGGAAGGAACACCAGUGGCGAAGGCGACCACCUGGACUNA
rnacentral:rRNA from 1 species